UACGAAGGGGGCUAGCGUUGUUCGGAAUUACUGGGCGUAAAGCGCACGUUAGGCGGACUAUUAAGUCAGGGGUGAAAUCCGGGCUCAACCCCGGACUGCCUUUGAUACUGGUAGUCUCGAGUCCGGAAGAGGUGAGUGGAAUUCCGGAGUGUAGAGGUGAAAAUUCGUAGAUAUUCGGAAGAACACCAGUGGCGAAGGCG
rnacentral:rRNA from 1 species